UGCGGGGUAGAGCAAUUUAGUAGCUCACAAGUCUCAUAACCUUGAGGUCACAGGUUCAAAUCCUGUCUCCGCAA
rnacentral:tRNA from 1 species